AACGAACGCUGGCGGCAUGCCUAACACAUGCAAGUCGAACGAGACCUUCGGGCCUAGUGGCGCGCGGGUGCGCAACGCGUGGGAACCUGCCUUUAUAUUCGGAAUAUCUCAGUGAAAUAUGAGCUAAUACCGGCGGAUGUCUCCGGACCAAAGAUCUAUCGCCUUUAGAUGGUCCCGCGUUGGAUUAUCGAGUUGGUAGGGUACGGGCCUACUAAGGAGACGAGCCAUACCUGGUCUGAGAGGCUGAUCAGCCACACUGGAGCUGAGGCACGGCCCAGACUGGUACGGGACGCAGCAGUAGGGAAUACUGGACGCUGGGCGCAAGCCUGACAAAGCAGUGCCGCGUAAGAGAUGCAGGCCGUAGGGUUGUAAAGCUCGUUUGCACGAGAUGAUAAUGACAGUAUCGGCAGAAUAAGCUCCGGCUAACUACGUG
rnacentral:rRNA from 1 species